CCCUUCUGCGCAGGCGCACAGAGUGACUGAGGGAGGCGGGCGAGGGGAGGAAGGCUCCAAGCGAGGCCUGCUGCUUGGCGGGCGGCUGCGAGGCGCCGGAGAAGGGCAUGGAGCGGGACCUCCUCCGGCAGGCGCUCGGCUUCCACGGCCCCGCGCUCCUGCCGCUGCUCCGAGCCGAGCAGCACGACAACCCCGGCUUCCGCGGCCUCCUGCCUCCGGGAGGGCCAGGCCUCGACGCGCUGCCACCGCCAGUCCGGAAGGAGAGAGGAUUCGAUAAUAUUGAGAUACAGCACUUCAUUGCAAAAAAAGCCGAUCUCCUUUUUUCUCAUUCUUGGAAAACAAAUGUGCCUAUCACUGCAGAAGCCAAUGAAGAAAAUGAAGAUUAUUAUGCUGUUAUGCCACCUUUGGAGCAGUUCAUGGAUGUUCCCGGAGCAGAGAGGAGAGAGCUGUUUUUCCGAGACAUUGAACGUGGGGACAUAGUGAUUGGAAGGAUUAGUUCAAUUCGUGAAUUUGGGUUUUUCAUGGUGCUCUUCUGCCUGCGAAGUGGUGUUAUUCGAGAUAUAGCAGACAUAGAAAUCACUGCUCUCUGCCCAUUGAGGGACGUGCCUUCCCAAAGCAGCCAUGGCGAUCCUUUAUCAUACUAUCAAACUGGCGACCUUAUCCAAGCUGCAAUCAAGGAUAUUGAUCGCUAUCAUGAGAAACUCACAGUAUCACUGCACAGCUCUGCUCUUUCUCCAAGCCUAGCGAGUACCAAAUUAGGCGUAAUCAGCUCUGAAGACUUACCUCUGCACUACAGGAGGAGUGUUGAAAUAGCCAGUGGUUUGGAAACAUAUGAAAAAGUUUUGCAUCACUCCUUGGGCUUUGCAAAUCCUGCAGUAGAGGAGUUUAUGGCAGGGAAACUAGGACUGAACGAAUCCAACCCACCAUCCUUAAUGAGAGGAUUACAAAGCAAACAUUUCAAUGAAGAGGAUUUUGCUGUGGCAUUGCGGAAAAGACAAUCUGCCUCGUGGGCCUUAAAAUGUGUAAAGAUUGGUGUUGAUUAUUUCAAAGAGGGCCGCCAUGUGGAUGCCAUGAAUGAAUACAACAAGGCAUUGGAAAUAGAUGCACAGAACGUAGAAGCCUUAGUUGCUCGUGGAGCACUUUAUGCAACAAAGGGAAGCUUAAAUAAAGCAAUUGAUGAUUUUGAAAUUGCAUUAGAAAACUGUCCAACGCACAGAAAUGCCAGAAAAUAUCUCUGCCAAACACUUGUGGAAAGAGGAGGCCAGUUGGAAGAGGAGGAGAAAUUGUUGAAUGCAGAAAGUUAUUACAAGAAAGCUUUAAACAUAGAUGAGACGUUUCAAGAAGCUGAGGAUGCCUUGUUGAAACUUCGUAAGCAGAUACAGGUGAUUCUUUACUUUCUCUUAGUUGACUUGAGUACAUGAUGCUUAGAGUAAUGGGGCUGCACUGUUUAAACUACAUUUGUCUUGUUUUUUGCAAUUACUGCAAAUGGUUAGAGAAUAAUUGGGUUGGCUUAAUUGGAAAUCUAGAAUUCUGGAUGUCCAGAUCAAAGAAGUCCUCGAGGGUCACCUUUAGUUAGUAUAUUUAGUGGGUAGUUAGCUGAAUUUUCAGAAUAUAUUGCCUUUGCAAUCAGCUGUAUUGAAAUAAGUUAAACUUACUUCAAAGUGAGUGUAUCAGAGAUUGGAAUGCAUCUGUGAUCAAGGCAGACAUAUCACAGCUGAAGUCUUAAAGAACUGCAGUAAACAUUACAGAGCAAGACACUUGCCUUUUGUUUUGGGACUGGGGCAAUGAAUUGGAUACAGACCAGUGGAAACCAUGUUUUAUUUGGGCCCUGUAAAGCUAGAUUUAGCUUCCCUACUUCACCAUACUAAAUGUAAUAUGAAAAGAUUUAUUGACCUACAGGCUUAGUUAGCGUACCUACAAGGAUUGGUGAGCAAGGUUUCUAGCUCACAGGUUUAUUUAUAGCCUGCAUGUUUGAAAGACACCGAGGGUCACUUUGUACGUGCCUGUAUUGGGCUUUCCCCCUCCAAGAAAUGCCUUGCCAUCAUGAGGAGAACACAUGCAAAGACGGGUAACGGGUCUAUUUUUAUCAGCUAUUUCUGCCAAUCUGUAAAGGAAGCCUCUUAGUAAGUGCUUCCCUUUGCAUAUGCACCUCUCUCCAUAAUGAUGAGCAACAGAAAGUGGGCGAAAAGGCCUAAGCAGGUACUUGCAAGGCUGCCUUCAGUCACAGCUGAAUCUGACAGGCUCUCCUCCCGUAAUACUGAUGAUAUGUUUUUCUCCAAUGCAUUUUCCUCUGAACUGGAACUGUUGCUGCUGUGUCUGACUUCUGCUCAUCACCAACAACCCACUGGAAUAUGAUUACGUGUGCAAACCAUGCAUCCAAACUGGGCUGUAUUACGAUUUCCAAAUGAAAUCUCUGGAAAUGAGAGAGAAACAAGCUGCAAAAGAAGAGAGACAAAAAGAGAAGAAAAUAGAAACAAGUGCUGAAAAAUUGCGUAAGCUCUUAAAAGAAGAAAAAAGGUAACUGCUCUUACGUUCUGCUGUUUCUUACCUGAAUGUCCCAUAGAACAUCACUAACACAUGUGAUUAAGCUAACUCCUACUGUAAGUAUGGUGGGCAUUCACUCUAUUUGUUCUAGGGUUUUUACUGCAAUCUAGAAUAUUUUGUUACAGAACUAGUGAAGUAUCAAGAUAACAGUUACUUUGUCAUGAUACUAAUUCUGGGUCAUGGCUUUUAAAUGCUUUAAAUCCACUUUGCCGUAGAUUCAGAUGUACUGCAGGGUUGUCAGGGCAUUGUUGGUGGACCAGUCACAAAGUUGCAUAACAAAAUGUGAAUGAGAGUGUAUAUACUAUAGUCAUAAUUAGUGUGUCAUUUCACAAGCCUCCAGAUCCGUAUUUUCAUUAAUAUCAAACUAUGAUGGAUCUCAUACUUCUGAAACAUUUUCCAUCAUAGUUCUUGUGAAAUAUUGCAUGAUACAAAAUUUAUUUUUUUAAAAACCUUUUUUAAAAAAGCAGGAUUUAGGAGAAUUAUGUAAGUUAUGACACUUUGAAGACAAGAAGCGUGAGACGAUAGGAAUAGGGAACCUCACAGUAGUUUUUUUCCUAUCAGAAAACUUUAAAACUGGAAUAUAUACUUCUGAUAACAUCUUUAAAAUAAAAUCCAAGCUCCCUAUCCUUUUUACCUGUUGAUAUCUAUGGUUUGUAAAUUUGCUGAGCUUGCCAACAAAAGUGAAUUUAGAUGCUACUGGCAAUACCUCAUGGUUAAUUAAAAUUUCUAGGUUGAAGAAGAAACGAAAAAGGUCAACUUCCUCUUCUUCCUCCUCCUCCUCCUCUUCCUCAUCUGACUCUUCAUCAAAUGAAUCUGCUUCUUCUUCCUCCUCCUCCUCCUCC